rnacentral:misc_RNA from 1 species
AAGUUACAGAACAACGGCCUUCAUUCAAAUUAAUGGUUUGAAAAUAUUGGAAAAACUGGUGGCCUAGUGUUUGUCUAAAGGGCUUUGAUCUUCAGCUUUGUAAACAAAGGUCAAUCCAUCCUUCCCUUUAAGAUUCUUUCUUUAACUUCAGUGGGAGUAACAACAUAGACGUGUCCUCCCCAACCACUCAAACAGUCCCGAUCUACUGAUGAUAGCAA